UUCUCCGCAUGUUCCAAUGAGUUCCAUGCACGGCCAUGCGUGUGUCUGUCCUCCUCAGUUGACCUAGAUGCUGUCCUGGACCAAAUCAUCGCACAGAUCGACAGUGACGCCACCAGGGGAACCUGUGAGGUCGUUUGCUUCUCCACCCUGGCUCCUCUCUUAGACCGCCUGGCUGUUGUAGCAGCCGUCGCCUGCCCCCGGGUCUGUAAAUUUGCUCUGUCGGAGCUGGAAAAGGUUCUGGAGAAAAAAAAGCCGCCGCCCAAACCUGCCCGGUAACAUUUCUGUUCCUGUCCUUGCUCCUUCCUUCUCUGACGUGGCUCACAAAAUCGUGUGUCGUCCCAUGAGACCGUGGUGGGGCAGCAUGAACGACACCCACCAUGUCACGUGACUCUCACAUCUCGCCACGUCUGAUGUCACGACGCUACCUUACUGGUGUGUCUUGUUGCUUCAUCAGUCAGAAAUAUGUUGCUGCUCUGUGAUGUAACUGUCUCAUCAUAAUAAAAUGAUAAUGAUAAUA